UCCCUGGUGGCUCAGACAGUAAAGCAUCUGCCUGCAAUGCGGGAGACCCGGGUUUGAUCCCUGGGUCGGGAA
rnacentral:tRNA from 1 species